rnacentral:tRNA from 1 species
GCCUGGGUGGCCCAGUCGGUUGGGCGUCUGACUUCAGCUCAGGUCAUGAUCUCGCGGUCCGUGGGUUUUGAGCCCCGCGUCGGGCU